rnacentral:tRNA from 4 species
GCCUCGGUAGCUCAGUUGGAUAGAGCAACGGCCUUCUAAGCCGUAGGUCAUGGGUUCGAGCCCCGUCCGGGGUA